rnacentral:rRNA from 1 species
GACGAACGCUGGCGGCGUGCCUAAUACAUGCAAGUCGAGCGGGUUUAUCCUUCGGGAUAAGCUAGCGGCGGACGGGUGAGUAACACGUAGGUAACCUGCCUUUAAGACUGGGAUAACUAUCGGAAACGAUAGCUAAGACCGGAUAACUGGUUUUCUCGCAUGAGAGAAUCAUAAAACACGGAGCAAUCUGUGGCUUAAAGAUGGGCCUGCGGCGCAUUAGCUAGUUGGUGAGGUAACGGCUCACCAAGGCGACGAUGCGUAGCCGACCUGAGAGGGUGAACGGCCACACUGGGACUGAGACACGGCCCAGACUCCUACGGGAGGCAGCAGUAGGGAAUCUUCCGCAAUGGACGCAAGUCUGACGGAGCAACGCCGCGUGAGUGAUGAAGGUUUUCGGAUCGUAAAGCUCUGUUGCCCUAGACGAACAGCAAGGAGAGUAACUGCUCUUUGUGUGACGGUAUAGGAGAAGAAAGCCCCGGCUAACUACGUGCCAGCAGCCGCGGUAAUACGUAGGGGGCAAGCGUUGUCCGGAAUUAUUGGGCGUAAAGCGCGCGCAGGCGGUCAUUUAAGUCUGGUGUUUAAUCCUGGGGCUCAACCCCAGUUCGCAUCGGAAACUGGAUGACUUGAGUGUAAGAGAGGAAAGUGGAAUUCCACGUGUAGCGGUGAAAUGCGUAGAGAUGUGGAGGAACACCAGUGGCGAAGGCGACUUUCUGGCUUAUAACUGAC